ACAAGCGGUGGAGCAUGUGGUUUAAUUCGACGCAACGCGAAAACUUACCUACGCUUGACAUGUCAGGAACCUCGAAGAGAUUUUGAGGGUCGCCGAAAGGGAACCUGAACACAGGUGCUGCAUGGCUGUCGUCAGCUCGUGUCGUGAGAUGUUGGGUUAAGUCCCGCAACGAGCGCAACCCUUAUCAUUAGUUGCUACGCAAGGGCACUCUAAUGAGACUGCCGGUGACAAACCGGAGGAAGGUGGGGAUGACGUCAAGUCCUCAUGGCCCUUAUGCGUAGGGCUUCACACGUCAUACAAUGGUCGGUACAGAGGGUUGCCAACCCGCGAGGGGGAGCCAAUCCCACAAAGCCGAUCGUAAGUCCGGAUCGCAGUCUGCAACUCGACUGCGUGAAGUCGGAAUCGCUAGUAAUCGCGAAUCAGCCAUGUCGCGGUGAAUACGUUCCCGGGUCUU
rnacentral:rRNA from 1 species